GGAAAGGAAUCCUCUCCCCCUUCCCCUCCCCCUGGGGCGGGGCUCAACCUCUGGCUAUAAACCGGGGUGCUUCAGCCUGCCCAGCAAGAUUUCUCCCCACCACUCUCUCACACCUCUGCUGACCCAGACUCAGGUCACACCAGGACCCCAGGAUGUCGGACGCCGAAGAGCAAGAAUAUGAAGAGGAGCAGCCUGAAGGUGAGUGGGGCGCGGGCUAGCCUUGGCGGGGGUGGGGUUGGGGGUGCCUUGCAGCAUCUUACUUAGCCCACCCCGCCCGACGCCCGCUCUCCUGGUUCGCACAGCCCGUGCGUGGGAAGCGCUCUCGGGUCCAUUUGCCGCGGAGGCCCCGAGGGGCCCCCCUCUCGGUCUCGG
rnacentral:lncRNA from 1 species